rnacentral:lncRNA from 1 species
UUGGCAUCUAUGGUGAGGGCAAAUUUGAGUGGAGAUAUGCGUAAGUCUACCAGGUUUUCCUGUCAUACUCCAAAGAUAUCAGUAUUUAGUCCCACCUGUUUCGUGACUCUUCUACUGUAGAUUUCUGUUCUAGCCUCUGGAUGAUUCUGUUUCAAUUUAUCCACAAUAUUAGAAAUGUCAUGAGAGCACAAGCAUGUUGUUAAUUUGAGUGUUAAUUCUUGCAGCUAUCCUUAUUUGGCAGUUGUUCUUAAUUUUAGCCAGACCUGGGCUCUAUAUUGCCUUGUGCAGUUUUAUUCAGUCACCAAGAAUAAAUUAGCACCGAUUAAGCCAUUGGCGAAGUUUCUUGUAUUCAAGUCGAUUGUAUUCUUGACGUGGUGGCAAGGUAUAGCUGUUGCCUUUCUUUUGUCAUUUGGAGCAUUCAAAGGUUCUUUGGCACAACUAUUGAAGACACGAAUCCAGGACUAUAUCAUCUGUCUUGAGGUCAGUUUUGUUUAUGUAAUUAUCUUUCUAAUCUAACAAUUGCCUGAUUUCUACUUCAUGGGCCAGCAGAGGUUCAUGAAAAAAAAUGAUUAAUUUUGUUGUAGAAUAUGUGCUCUUUUUCAGUUUGCAUCAAUGAGCUGCUGGAGCAGUCUGGCUGG